rnacentral:lncRNA from 1 species
CGUGUGUACGUCUUAGACGUAUGGUCCAGAUUUUGUGGCUCACAAUCUCUGGUUCUUUGCUUUUGGUGAUAGCCCGUUUUGAUGGCAUGGUUUUGGUUGGAUCUCUAGUUCUCCUUGGAUUUGUUGAUUCUUACUCUCCCUCUCUUCGGUGGUCUUUAUUGUGAGCUCCCCGAUUCGAUCUGUUGCCUUUCUUGUUUGGAGUUUGGUGUCAUCGGUUUGGAUUUUUGUCUCUACACUCAAGACCUGAUCGAGGUCUGGUCAAAUCAAAGACUUUUAUCGAGGCGUCAAAUUGUAGUAGGUUUCUACAUCGCCGCUUCCGGAAGAUUUGCGAGUCUUCUUGUGAUUUGCUUUCGUCUUGCCGGAUAUGAAGUCUAGGAUUAUUUUAUUUGGGAGGUACUCUGGCUUCAUUAUAGGAGGUUUCGUUAGCUGCUAACGGAUUAUGUUCAUCCACUGUGGUUGGCUUUUGUUCAUCUAGGAGUAAGGGAGAUCUUUUGGCAGUCUUUUUCGUUUGAGAUCUUAGUUCCAGCUGCUGUGUUUCAUUUCGCUUUUUGUGGAUUGUAAUUUCAUCGUUUUCAAAUGUUUCCCUGUAACUUAGGGCUUCUGUUUUCCUCUUUUGGGCUAUGACUCUGGGGAUAUCUCGUUUUUCCGCCGGCUUAGUUUCUGGGGGUUAAAGUCCCGCCAGUCUUUGUAUUCCAAGAACGUAUUUCACCCGUGAUAUAUAAAUAAUCUUUCAGACGAAAAAAAAAA